rnacentral:rRNA from 1 species
UGCUUAAGACAUGCAAGUCGAACGGAACACUUCGGUGUUUAGUGGCGCACGGGUGAGUAACGCGUAACUGACCUACCUCAAAGACAUGAAUAACUUUUCGAAAGGGAAGCUAAGGUGUGAUGAGAUGCACGGCUGUGGCUGUGUAUGAAAGGGGGGAGACCUCCGCUUUGAGAUGGGGUUGCGUUCCAUCAGCUAGAUGGUGGGGUAAGAGCCUACCAUGGCGACGACGGAUAGCCGGCCUGAGAGGGUGGCCGGCCACAGGGGCACUGAGAAACGGGCCCCACUCCUACGGGAGGCAGCAGUUAGGAAUCUUCCACAAUGGGCGAAAGCCUGAUGGAGCGACGCCGCGUGAGGGAAGAAGGUUUUAGGAUUGUAAACCUC